GACGAACGCUGGCGGCGUGCUUAACACAUGCAAGUCGAACGGAAAGGCCCUGCUUUUGUGGGGUGCUCGAGUGGCGAACGGGUGAGUAACACGUGAGUAACCUGCCCUUGUCUUUGGGAUAACUUCAGGAAACUGGGGCUAAUACCCGAUAGGAGCUCCUGCUGCACGGUGGGGGUUGGAAAGUGUCGGCGGUGGGGGCUGGACUAGCGGCUUAUCAGCUUGUUGGUGGGGUAGUGGCUUACCAAGGCUUUGACGGGUAGCCGGCCUGAGAGGGUGACCGGCCACAUUGGGACUGAGAUACGGCCCAGACUCCUACGGGCGGCAGCAGUGGGGAGUAUUGCACAAUGGGCGGAAGCCUGAUGCAGCAACGCCGCGUGCGGAAUGACGUCCUUCGGGUUGUAAACCGCUUUCGCCUGUGACAAAGCGUGAGUGACGGUAAUGGGUAAAGAAGCACCGGCUAACUACGUG
rnacentral:rRNA from 1 species